UUUCCGUAGGUGAACCUGCGGAAGGAUCAUUAUUGUAUAACCGAGGUGCGAGGGCCGUCGCUGACCCGAAAGGUCGUGCACGCGCGUGUGCCCUCACACACAUCCAUCUCACCCCAACGAGCACCACCGCGUGGCUCCCCCUUUGGCUUGUUCGGUGGGGGGGUUACGUUUUCACACAAACUUUGUAUGCAGUGUAGAAUGUAUUUUUUGUUUUUGCGAUCACGCAAUCAAUACAACUUUCAACAACGGAUCUCUUGGCUCUG
rnacentral:misc_RNA from 1 species